rnacentral:lncRNA from 1 species
GCCAUGGCCCCCAAACUCAUCGCCGUCCUGUGUCUGGGUGAGUCCUGGAAGGGAAAGGAGGGCAGGGCUGGGAUGGAAAAUGCUCUCUUGAAGGCCCGGCCUCUCCACAACCCGGGACUGGGCGUGGGAAGCCAGGAUCAUCCACUAUCUGAGUCCAGGCUGAGCUGGCAAAGCGUUACGAGGAGGGCAGGAUUCUCGUGCAGACACGCCGUUGCUUGUUGUUGCUGUUUUGUUACGUUCUGUUUCUUCCCCAGGAUUGUGCCUGGGCCAGAAGAUGUGCACACAGGCGGAUGUCUGUUGUUGUAGACAAAAGUUAGGAGCAACUCGGCUCAAUGUUGUAUCAUCAUGCCCAGUAGAACGCUGUUCUGGGAAGACCUUCCAUGUCCACUCUGGGGUGGGCUGUGUCCCUGUCCCACCACCAGGUGCUCCCAACAAGCUCUCCCUGUCAGCCCUGCCGAGCCCUGUGGUUCCCCUGGGAGGACGUGUGGCGCUCUCCUGCGAUUCUCAUCGUCGGUUUGUCACAUUCAAAAUAUACAAAACGUCUGGGACCCGGGACCGUGAGUUGCACACUGGCCGCUCCAACUACAUCACCAUCAGCCCUGUGACCCCAGGACACGCAGGGACCUACAGA